AUGAACGCUGGCGGCGUGCCUAAUACAUGCAAGUCGAGCGAACGGACGAGAAGCUUGCUUCUCUGAUGUUAGCGGCGGACGGGUGAGUAACAAGUGGGUAACCUACCUAUAAGACUGGGAUAACUUCGGGAAACCGUAGCUAAUACCGGAUAAUAUUUUGAACCGCAUGGUUCAAAAGUGAAAGACGGUCUUGCUGUCACUUAUAGAUGGAUCCGCGCUGCAUUAGCUAGUUGGUAAGGUAACGGCUUACCAAGGCAACGAUGCAUAGCCGACCUGAGAGGGUGAUCGGCCACACUGGAACUGAGACACGGUCCAGACUCCUACGGGAGGCAGCAGUAGGGAAUCUUCCGCAAUGGGCGAAAGCCUGACGGAGCAACGCCGCGUGAGUGAUGAAGGUCUUCGGAUCGUAAAACUCUGUUAUUAGGGAAGAACAUAUGUGUAAGUAACUGUGCACAUCUUGACGGUACCUAAUCAGAAAGCCACGGCUAACUACGUG
rnacentral:rRNA from 1 species